rnacentral:rRNA from 1 species
CCUGCUCAAUGAACAUUAAAUAGCCGCUUUUUUAAGUGCUAAGGUAGCAUAAUCAUUAGUCUAUUAAUUAUAGAAUAGAAUGAAAGGAAAAACGAGUUAAAAACUUUAUUUAAUUUAAAUAAUAAAACUAAUUUAAAAGUAAAAAAGCUUUUAUGAAAAGAAAAGACGACAAGACCCUUUAGAACUUAACUCAAAGUUUAACUGGGAUGGUAAAUUAUAAAAACUAACUAUAUUAUAAUAUAAAAAACUUCAAAUAUAAUAUAAAAAGUUACCUAAGGGAUAACAGCAUAAUUUUAUUUAAAAGAUCUUAUUAAAAAUAAUCAUUAUGACCUCGAUGUUGAAUUACUAAACUUAUAUUAGAAAAUUAAUAUAAAGUAAGUCUGUUCGACUUUUAAACAAGUACAU